AAUAAAUCUUCUCGGGCCUCUGUGGAUGGGCCUGGCAGGUCUUCGGUCUGAGAGCUGAUUGACAGGACAUAUUACAUUCCGGAGCAGACUCAGCCUCUGACAUUUCUUUGAAGCAACACUGAAGCGUGAAGCUGGUUUCUUAAAGGGCUCCCGUCCCUUUCUGAGCCUCAGGGACCCCAAGGUGGUAGUGGGGGAAGUGGAGGGGCACGUGCAGAGCUUGGCGGAGGCCAAGAGACAAUCAUCACGUGCACAGGGGUGAUGACAAUCAGGAGCUCCGUGGUGCUGCACAAUUCGCAUGCAUCAAGGACCUUUCUGUGCCAGCCCUGUGCCGAAGGUAUCAGCACACCCCCGUCAGCAGGCUGGGUCUCUUGUGGUUACCAUCUCUCAGGUGCCAGGGCUUGUGACGAAUCCCAGUGCGUCACACAGAACGGGUUCGCUAAAGACUGAGAAAUCGCGAUCAGCAUAGGUGGACAAGGUCUCUUCUAUUCUGCUUAUCCCCAAAGACCUGCGCCGAGGCCCUGCGCUUGGUCAGCUAUCCCAUAGGGAGAAUGUUUUGGGGAGAGACACACCCACACUAAUUAUUCUCCCCACUCACAGGAUAAGUGUGGGAGCAACCCGGGCAGUGGAGAAACACAGACUGACACCGGCAGUUCAUUCUGAUUCUUCUAGGAAAGGUCCAGGGAGUGUCAGGCUUGUAGCACAGCGCCUCCUGCUGGGCAGAGAGCUCUGCUUCUUUGAACUCCCCGCCCAGCAUCCAUUGUGAACCGUGGAGUCUCAGUGACGUCGUCGAGAACUCCUGACAAUCCUUUGCAGUUGACACUAGCAGCCCCUGUUUUCCACGCUAUCCUGCAGAAGGAAUUUAAAAAACCAAAACCUUGUUUUUCUUCUACAUCCCCGUUCCUGAUCGCAAGCACCGGAGCUGUGACAUGCACGUGCAAGGGGGUUGGAUUUGGUCCUACGGCUGAACUCAUCACUUGGUCAGUGGAUAGAGAAGCUAGAACUCAAAGAAAUUAAAUGCACUGGAUGAAGUCAUUGUCAGCAAAUGGCAGGGACAUGAUCUAGAGAAAACAUUCCUAAAAUUCAUCUGGAACCAGA